AGACGGGGCCCCUGCGACAGUCUACAAGACAGACAGGGCCCCUGCCCUUUGGACAUCCAUCUGAGUGGGAAAGACAGACAACAAACAGGAAAAAGGGGGUCCUGGCUGAGGAGCUGGUUGGGAGGAGCAUUCUAAUAUGGGAGGGUCUUCUGGGCUUGCAGAGUGCUGUGGAAGUGAGCAGGGAGAUGGGCUCAGAGAGGCCAGCAAAUGCGAAAGGAGGUGUGAGCAUCGUGGAGCUCCAUGAAGACAGGGACCAUGGCCCAUUUGCCCUCCUGGAAUCCUCAGUGCCUGGUCCAGAGCAAGAGCUCAUUAAACAUUGAAGGAACGAAUGAAUGAAUAAGUGAAAUAAUGCUGACUGAGAUAUGGGACAGAGCUGGGGGCUUCAGAGCUGGCCUUGCCUCUGUGGUGCCCCCUGCCAUCCACUGUUCCACGGGAGAUGGACGUCAGCCCCACACUGGCUAGCUCUGUUCCACUCACAUUCAUUCUCUGGUGUUUCCCAGUCCUCCCCCAGAGCCACCGCCUCCAGCCUCCCCUGGCUCAGGGCCAGGCAGCUCUAUCCUCCUGCCGGCUCCUCACUUGGCAGUUUGUCGAGUGGAGACAUCAAGUGGUCAGACCUUGGAAUGGCAGCGGUCAAGCUGAAGAUGGGGAGUGACUGAGCCCUCAUUCAGGAGGACUGAUCCAGCCACAGAUGGGUCUUGACCCUGUGUCCACACUGAACCUUAUCUUGGCUGAGCCCAGACUCCAGCCCGAGAACAAACUCUAACCCUGGUCACAGACUGAGGCCCUGUGCCCCCAAAUACCCCUAAUUUAAAAUUUGUGCUGUAAUGACCUGACACCACUUAAAAAACCUUUUUAUUGAAAUGUAACAUAACAUUGCGAAAAGUGCCCACGUCACAAGAAUUUUCAGGAACUAAACACAUCCAUGUAAUCGAUGCUCACUGCCAGCAUCCCAGUAGCCUUCUCGCAUACCCUUCCAGUCACAACCUCCCAAGGCAAACACUCUCCUGCCUUCUAGCAGCAUAUCUUAAGUUUUGUCUGUUUUCAUGCUUCUAUAUGUUUGAAAUCAUACACUAUAUCCCUUCUGACAUCUGAUUUCUUUUGCUCACCAUUGUGUUGGUAAAAUUAAUCCAUAUUUCUCUGUGUAGUGGUUGAUAGUUCAUACACACUGGUGCCCACUGUUUUACCAACCCACUGAGAAUCUAGCCAAAGGGGUUGAACCCACAUCCGAUCAAGCCUCUGGAUCCAGCUGCCAACUUGCAGGAAGCACAGAGGCAAAAAUUUAUACAUCUCCCAAACCCAUAAACUCAUAAAGGACCACUUCCAUCACUUAACUGCUUGUUCUUAGUAACCCUUAUCUGAAUAGGUAUUUUGUAGCACUUAACUUUGGAGAAUUCACCAGAAAAUAACUGUUUUUACUAAACUGGGCUUCAGCAUUAUACUGUGGGCCUUCAUCAAGAAGAAUUAUGAGAAACAGCCCUAGGAAACCGGUUGCUGGAUUUACCAUCAGGAUCUUGCUGAGGACAGUGUUCAUUCAUUUUGUUCACAGUAGCCUCUCCAUGAGAACUCCAGAAUAAAUUUCUUCCGCAUCCUAAUAAUAUGAAUAGAUAUUUCCCCACAGAGGAAAUGGUUUUACUUUCAGCUAACAGGGCUUUUGAAUCAUGUGAUGGAUCUUGUUUCCCUUUUCACAAUGGUUGCUAGGAAGCUCAGAGUCAGAUUUGUGACCCAUGCCUAGGACUGGGUGAGCUGUGUUGUCUGCACUAAACUCACCCCUGGUUGUUCUUAACUUUCCUUCUCCCAUUUCCUUUUUGUCCCUAUUUCUUCACCUUCCUAUUUUUUGCCUUUUUACUCUUGAAUUGUUAGUUUUUGGGGGAUGCAGUGAGGUGGCCACCUCAGGAACAUAGAAAUGAGAGUAACAAGGGUGUCUAUGAGAGUUAAAUGCAAGGAUCAGCCCAGUCUGUUUGGAGCAGAGAAGUGCAAAGUCUCCAGAUGGAGACAGGACAGCUUCCUGGCACAACACUUGAUUGUAACCUGGGUUUGUGUGGUCCCCAGCAGUGUCCUCGUUCCCCAGCACGGCCUUCUCUCCACACUCCUACCCCACAAUUAACAGACUAAGUUCUGAUCUUGAUAUUUGACCGACUUCCCCCUUCAGACUGUGAGGGUUGCCCACUUCCUAUGUGUGUGUGUGUCCUGCAAUCAAGUGCAACAAUCAACCUGCUACUUAAACAAGAGGAGAUUUAGGACUUUCAGCUAAAAGAACCAUUUUUACAAGAGGGACACUUGAUUGGUUCCUAGCUGUGGUAGCUUACAAGGACUGGGGGCUGGAGGGUCUCCUGAGCAUCUCUGCCUUGUCUUCCUGCACUGUCUCUGUGGCUGGGAGUCCGGACCCAGAGCCAGCAAGUCAGAUAAAGCAGGAGAGGGCGACAUGAUCUGGGCCCCUGGGCACGCCAGUGUUUUCUUUGUUUGCGUCUCUUUUAUACUUUCUGCAGAGCUGGAAGGCAGCUUUUCAAAAUGGCCAUUGCUUCUUUGGGCCAUCUCAGUAGGUAAAGAAACGGUCUUUCUAAUCGCAAGUGAGCAAGGAGGUGUCACAAAGUCUUCCACAUUUCCCCCAGCAGGCAAAGCUCAGUGCUGGCUGCUGUCCUUAACCCUUGCCCCUUGGCUGGUGUCACAGGUGAACAUUAGGACCACAGAGAGUGAGCAUAAUGUCUUGUCUAAACUUUGUAAGGAUCCAAAGGGAUGAUUCACUUUAUCUUCUGAUAGGACAUUUUGUCAAAAUUUCUUUGGACUGGGAAGCAGGGCUGUUUUCCUGGUCAUAAGGGCCCCCCUUGGUAGAGCAGACAGCAGGGGACUCAGCAUCCUAGGAGUUUCUAACGAUGGCCUCCGUGCUAGGCAGAAUAAUGGUCUCCCCAGAUAGCUGCAUCUUAACCCUAGGAAUUUGUGACUGUGUUGCCUCACGUGGCAGAAGGCACUCUGCAGACGUGAUUAGGUUAAGGAUCCUGAGAUGGGAACUUUAGCCUGGAUUAUCCAGGUGGGCCCAAUGGAAUCACAAAGUCCUGGUAAGAGGCAGGCAGGGUCAAAGUCAGAGAAGGAGAAAUAAGGACAGGAAGCAGAGUCCUGUGAUGCAACUGCUGGCUUAAAGAGGCAUGAGGGCCAUGAGCCAUGGAAUGUGGGCAGCUACUAGAAGCUGGAAAGGCCAGGAUCAGAUUCUACUCGGAGCCUCCAGAAGGAAGACGGCUCUGCUGGCCCCUUGAUUUCAGAUCAGAAAAUCGUCACAGAGACCAAUUAAGAAGCUUGCAUGUAAAAAGUGGCAGAGCUGGGAUCCGAACCCUGGCAGUCUGGCUCUGGACACCACCUCUUGCCCAUCGCCCUCCACUGCUGUGCUGAUCUGUCGUCCUUCCCUCCCACUGCCAGUUCCCCUUUCCGUCCAACAGUUACUUAUUGAUCAGUCGCUCUGUUCCAAGCACUGUGCCAGUAGGGCCCAGCCCUUGUGGAGGUGACAGUCUGUCAGGUGGAGCCCUGGCUCUGCCAUGUCCUGAUCCCGUGACCUUGGAGAAGUCAUUUAACUUCGCUGUGUCUCAGUGUCUUCGUGAUGACAUGGUGUGAUAGUCCCGGUCUCCUCAGGCUGUGGGGAAGAUGGAGUGACUCAAAGCUGCGGAAAGCUGGGGCCGGGCACACGGAGGGCAUGGGAAGCAUGAGUGUAAUCCUAUUGGUGUCAUACUGGAGAAGCUCUUCCAACCCACGGGGCCUGGCCGCCAAGUGGAAGAGUGGAAGCAGCAGCAAGCCAGAGCCCGACACCCUGGCCUUAAGCCCUGGCUUUGGCACCGUGACUGUCCCAAACAUGGGAUUUUGGACAAGCUGCUUCGUCUUUCUGAUUUUUUUCCUCUGUAAAACAGGAAUGACUAAUACCAACCUUGUGGUGUCCUUGUGGUUGUUCAAUGAAGUAACAAGGCUGAGAGCUUGGCACAUAAUAGGGGCCUUUGGAAGAUUUCGUUUCCUGUCCUCUAGAGGAAUCGGGAGGCGGAAUAGCCCAGGGGUCAGCACAUCUGGAGGUCUGACGUGUCCCCUUCUCCCAGGGAAGGCCCCGACCUGACACGCUGCAGGAUGCUGUUUUCUUCUUUCGCUUCCUUUCUUUGUUCCUGUUCGAAUUUCGUUUCUUGAGAAAGAAGAGUGUUUCACACAGCCCCGCCCAUGCAUGGGGCUCUGUGUUAACUGUCCUGGUGCCUGGCAGAGGGCUCCGUCUUGGUCUUUUGUCCCCCAGGGCAGAUGGAGGACAGUUGGUGGGUGUGGGGUCGCAGGGCUGCUCUGCUCGUAAGGCCCCGAGAAACCAGAGGGCAGGCUGGGAGCUGAGGGCUGAGAGGCAGCUGAGGACUGGGAAGCCCCGUCUGGUCCAGCCUCCUCCAAGGUCAAGGGGUGUCCUGGCCCCCCUCUCUCCCCUCCCAU
ensembl:lncRNA